CCUACGGGAGGCAGCAGUCGAGAAUUAUUCACAAUGAGGGAAACCCUGAUGGUGCGACGCCGCGUGGGGGAAUGAAGUUCUUCGGAUUGUAAACCCCUGUCAUGGGGGAGCAAAUUAGAAAGAUCGUACCACAAGAGGAAGAGACGGCUAACUCUGUGCCAGCAGCCGCGGUAAUAACGAGGUCUCAAGCGUUGUUCCGAAUCACUGGGCGUAAAGGGUGCGUAGGCGGGUUCGUAAGUCGUGUGUGAAAGGCGCGGGCUAAAGCCGCGGACGGCAUAUGAUACUGCGAGACUAGAGUAAGGGAGGGGGAACCGGAAUUCCCGGUGUAGCAGUGAAAUGCGUAGAUAUCGAGAGGAACACUCGUGGCGAAGGCGGGUUACUGGACAUUAACUGACGCUGAGGCACGAAGGCCAGGGGAGCGAAAGGGAUUAGAUACCCUUGUAGUC
rnacentral:rRNA from 1 species